UCCGGUUUGGCACCGGCAGUCCCCCGAGAGUCCUCAGCAUUACCCGCUGGCAACUAGGAACAGGGGUUGCGCUCGUUGCGCCACUUAAGGCAACACCUCACGGCACGAGCUGACGACAGCCAUGCACCACCUGUGCGGGCCCCGAAGGGCGCCGUGUUUCCACGGCUUCAACCCGCAUGUCAAGCCCUGGUAAGGUUCUUCGCGUUGCGUCGAAUUAAGCCACAUGCUCCGCCGCUUGUGCGGGCCCCCGUCAAUUCCUUUGAGUUUCAACCUUGCGGUCGUACUCCCCAGGCGGGGUACUUCCUGCGUUAGCGCCGGCACCCAGAGGGUCGCUCCCCCAGGCACCUAGUACCCAUCGUUUACGGCGUGGACUAC
rnacentral:misc_RNA from 1 species